rnacentral:lncRNA from 1 species
GUCUAAGUUGAUUAUAUUUAAUAAAAGGUGUUUGCUCCGUGAUGUUUAUAACGAUGAUAACAUGAUUUAAUUAUUCAAUGGUUUAGAUGUUAAGGUCAAGCAAGUACAGAAGAAGAAAAAAAGUUUGGAGUAUGAAUUAGGCACGAAUUAGGUUGGUUAGUAUUGGAUGUAAUUAUUGACAUGCGGUCAUAAAAUGUGACAGCCAGGUGAAUGGUAAAAAAUAUUUUUGUCAUUCGUUGUCUUCCGCAGACCGGCCGUCUCCAACGAUAAACGGACAGAG